CCACUUCCUGCUCAACUGCUGAGAUCUGUGUGGAUCAUAAAACAGUCCUCCAGUUCUUUGCGGUUCUUGCCGAUGGCGCCUUCGUAGUGUUCCCUGAUCUCUGCCAUCACCUUGUUCAGGUCUACAGAGGGAGAAGCAUCAACAGCCACAUUGACCUGUCCGCCCAUCUGGCUCCUCAGCAGAACCAACUCCUGCAGGGGUUCAAAGAGGUCAUCAAUGAUGACGAAGUAACGGGUGUAGUCGUGGCUGAUGACGGUUCUGGUUUGGUACCAGUCUCUGAUUUGCUUGUCCAGGCGGUCGUUCUCCUUCUCCAGAGUGCGCACCUUCUCCAGAUCUACCCUCUGCAUGGUCCGAAUUUGCCCCAGUUCUGGCUCUAGAUACAGCUUCGAGACUUCAUCAUGGUGGCUGUAUUCACUUAAAGCCCCUGGCUGAGCAGCACGCUGAUAAUCACUUCAGACACGUACCCUGAAGCUGUGGUUUCAGGCGUUAAAAAAGAUCAAUGCAGAAG